UAGUAUCAGCGUGUCAGCCGCCGCGGUAAGUACGAAGGGUGCAAGCGUUACUCGGAAUUACUGGGCGUAAAGCGUGACGUAGGUGGUUUGUUAAGUCUGAUGUGAAAGCCCUGGGCUCAACCUGGGAACUGCAUUGGAAACUGGCUUACUAGAGUGCGGUAGAGGGUAGUGGAAUUCCCGGUGUAGCAGUGAAAUGCGUAGAUAUCGGGAGGACAUCUAGUGGCGAAGGCGACUACCUGGACCAGCACUGACACGUGAGGCACGAAAGCGUGGGGAGCAAACAGGAUUAGAUA
rnacentral:rRNA from 1 species